rnacentral:rRNA from 1 species
UACGUAGGGUGCAAGCGUUGUCCGGAAUUAUUGGGCGUAAAGAGCUCGUAGGCGGUUUGUCGCGUCGAAUGUGAAAACCCGGGGCUCAACCCCGGGCCUGCAUUCGAUACGGGCAGACUAGAGUUCGGUAGGGGAGUCUGGAAUUCCUGGUGUAGCGGUGAAAUGCGCAGAUAUCUGGGGGAAGGCCGGAGGCGAAGGCGUCCCACUGGCUGGUUCCUGACGCUGAGGCGCGAAAGCGUGGGGAGCAAGCAGG